AUUAGUUACAAAUCCUUCUUAACAAAAUUUAUAAGUGUGUUUUAAAAUAAUAUUUAUCAACUUUUUUGAGGUGAAAAAGUUUAAUCUGAUUCCUGAAAGUCAGAAAAGGCCAUUGCCAUUGGCAAUGUCCUACAAGCGAUUUAGUACCGCUUGAGCGGACAAUGGAGUCGAAGCCAAGUCCGCGAUGAAUUUGGCUGUUUUGCCUAAUUUGUGCCACACUCCUGUCAGGACUGCUAUGAUGAUGAUGAUUAUGGCGAUGAAAGCUGCAGGGUCAGCAGGUCAUUUGAAAAAGAAAUGUUUGAUGCCUUUGUUUAUGGACCUGACACACUUUGGGCUGCUCAGUCUUGAUUUUAUUCCGAUUUUUAGUGAACAUUUUAAUUUAAAGUUUAAAGUUAAAUGUGAUUACAACAUAUUUAAAGUUCUUUUGUGUUGGCCAUCCUACCGCAAUUGUCUGCUUUUUACCCACCGUUUUCAAACUACCCCCCACCGAACAUCCUUUUGGCAUCCUGUGGAGUUGCCACGCCCUCUUCCUGUCACUGCCUCAAGCACUUAGGAAGCACGUAGUCAC